rnacentral:ncRNA from 1 species
AAUUGAAUAAAGGGGAAAGGAGGGAAAAUGAGUGGGAAAUAUCAGUGAGGGUGAUAGAACAUGAGAGACACCUAACUCUGGGAAACAAACAAGGCGUGGUGGAAAGGGAGGUGGGCAGAGGGUUGGGUGACUGGGUGACGGGCACUGAGGGCGGCACUUGACAGGAUGAGCACUGGGUGUUAUGCUAUAUGUUGGCAAAUUGAACUCCAAUAAAAAAUACAAAAAACAAACAAACAAAAAAAGCAUCUCAAAGGCCUCGGUGGGUGUUGACACAUGUGAUUUCUGCUCAGUGCUCUGAAUGUCAGAGUAAAGAAGUUCAAUGAAGUGUGGGUAAAUGGCAGCAGUAAUAGGACUCUCUUAAGGUAGCUAAACCCCGGUCAUCAAAUUAGUGAUGGGAAUGAAUUGGUGAAUGAGAUUCCCACUGUCCCUACCUACUGUCUAGCGGAACCACAUCCAAAGGAAUGGGCUUGGUGGAAUCAGUGGGGAAAGAAGACCCUGUUGACCUUGACUCCUCUCUGGCACGAUGAAGAGACAUGAGGGUUGUAGAAUAAGUGGGAGGCCUCUGUUGCUCCUCUGUCCCUGUGAGGGGGCACAGGUCCGCUGGCCUUGCCGGCUGCUGGUGAAAUACCACUACUCUUACUGUUUUUUCACUGACACAUGAGGCGAGGUGUAGGAAGGGAGAAAACUUAGGCAGCUCAGCUCCACUUGCUCCGGGGACAGUGACAGGUGGGGAGUUUGACUGGGGCCGUACACCUGUCAAACGGUAACUGCACGUGUCCUAAGGUGACCUCACAGAGGACAGAAACCUCCCAUGCAGCAGAACAGCAAAAGCUCGCUGGAUCUUGAUUUUCAGUUCGAACACAGACUGUGAAAGUGCGGCCUCACAAUCCUGACCUUUUGGGUUUUAAGCAGGAGGUGUCAGAAAAGUUACCACAGUGGUAACUGGCUUGUGGUGGCCAAGAGUUCACAGCAGCCUCAAUUUUUGAUCCUUCAGUGUGGGCUCUUCCUAUCAUUGUGAAGCAGAAUUCACCAAGGGUUGGGUUGUUUGUUCACUAAUAGAGAACGUGAGCUGGGCUUCGAUCAUGGUGAGACAGGUUAGUUUUACCCUAUUGAUGAUGUGUUGUUGCCAUGGAAAUCAUGUUCAGUACAGUGGAACCACAGGCUCAGACAUUUGGUGUAUGUGCUUGGCUGAGGAGGCAAGGGGCGGAACCUGUCAUCUAUAGGAUUAGGACUAAAAAGGCCUCUAAGUCUGAAUCCCACCCAGGCGGAACCAGACAGCAGCACCGAGGUGCCUUGGUUGGCCUCUGAGAGUCAGUUCUCCUCCGUCCUCGCUGGCAGACCUUCCCCGGGGCCUCUGGACUGGGUCCCGGAGGAGAGCCCUUCCACGUCCAAAAAGGGGUACCGUGAGACAGGGGGCCGCCCCCUCACCCUUCGCCUCACAUACCUUUAUGGGGAACUUGGUGCUAAACUAUCCAUAGACAUCUGCUUCUGGGUCGGGGUUUCCAACGCAGCAGAGCAGCUUCCUGGCUGGGAUGUACUGAACGUCAGUCCUGGACACGGGGGUCU